rnacentral:lncRNA from 10 species
UUUUGUUAAUGGUCAGUUUCUGGGUGAUGCAUUGGAUCUGCAGAAAUGGGCCCACGAGGUGUGGGAUAUAGUUGACAUUAAACCCUCUGCACUUUAUGACGCACUCACUGAGGAUUUUUCCGCUAAGUUCUUAAGAGACACCAAGCAUGAUUUCGUGUUUUUGGACAUUUGUAUUGAUUCUUCUCCAAUUGGAAGAUUGAUUUUUGAGCUAUACUGUGAUGUGUGUCCCAAAACAUGUAAAAAUUUUCAGGUCUUGUGCACAGGAAAAGCAGGGUUUUCUCAACGUGGCAUAAGACUACAUUACAAAAAUUCCAUUUUUCAUCGAAUAGUACAGAAUGGCUGGAUACAAGGAGGGGAUAUAGUGUAUGGAAAAGGAGAUAAUGGAGAGUCGAUUUAUGGUCCAACAUUUGAAGGACAGGCUCCCAUGCAGAUGGAACUGUUGGGAAUGGCAUCAAAAUUAUCCAGGAUACAGGGACAAUCAUGACAAAGAGGGAAUAGGAACAGAGUCAGAAAUUUAAGGAAGAAAGCCACAUGCUUCAAUAUGCAAGAUUUUCAACAUGCAAGAGGG